GUGCCAGCCGCCGCGGUAAUACAGAGGUCUCAAGCGUUGUUCGGAUUCAUUGGGCGUAAAGGGUGCGUAGGCGGCGCGGUAAGUCGGGUGUGAAAUCUCGGAGCUUAACUCCGAAACUGCAUUCGAUACUGGCGUGCUUGAGGACUGGAGAGGAGACUGGAAUUCAUGGUGUAGCAGUGAAAUGCGUAGAGAUCAUGAGGAAGACCAGUGGCGAAGGCGGGUCUCUGGACAGUUCCUGACACUGAGACACGAAGGCCAGGGGAGCAAACGGGAUUAGAUACCCCGGUAGUCC
rnacentral:rRNA from 1 species